AUGGCAGCACUUCCUGCAACAGCACAUGUACUAAAAAACUAGAACGAUACAGAGAAAAUUAGCAUGGUCCCUGUGCAGGAUGACAUGCAAAUUUGUGAAGCAUGUCACAUAUUA
ensembl:snRNA U6 U6 spliceosomal RNA